UUAUUAUGAUGAGAUUCCACACUAUGGUCCGUGUUCCUGAAACACAUGAUUUUGUGGAACUUCUGAUUCU
ensembl:snoRNA SNORD18 Small nucleolar RNA SNORD18